rnacentral:lncRNA from 1 species
GACCAAGUAUGCUAGUAGAAUCAGAGGAGGAUUAGCUCAGAGAAAUUAACUUCGAAGUGCUUUUCUUGGUAGGCCAUCUUUUCGACAUAAGAUGUAGGAGGAAUGUGUGGGGAAUCUAAUUGGCUAAAUAGAGUUGAACAUUGAAUGUGACUUUAAAGUCGAAUUCUAUUGGGUUGAGUAUCACAAAGGUCGGUUACAAUGAUUUCGAUAUAAGUAGACUAAGGAAAAAGAAAAAUACUUUGCAAUGGUGUACUGCCAAUUGUCUCAUUUUGUCUAGAUUGAUAUGCAUGUAAAGUUCUUAUUCAAUCUUGGAAUGUUAAAUUGACUUUAUUCGAGCUUUUCCUCGAAGUAUGUUGCAAGAGGAGUAACAUAUCCUCUACCCUUCUUAAAAAGCAAAAAUAUCUUGUCUUGAAUUAAUC